ACCAUGAUUUUAUUUUUUACUAUAAAAGUUUUAUUCUAGCUAGAAAGUUCUCUGCCAGAUUGUUUCACAUGUAACUACUAGGGAGUACGAUAGGGUAGUCUAAAGGAUUAUCUAAUAUUUUCUUAUUCACAGUGUUUGGUAUUGGUUUAUCUAGAAACCUGGGAACCAGUAAUUUUGUUAAUUCCGGCUAAACUCGUGCCAGCUGCCGCGGUUACACGAAGGGGGUAAGAGUAUUUUAUUGGUUUGUAAUUAGUUUUGUAGUUGAUUGAAAGGAGAAUUUUGUUAGGUGAAAUUUUAAAUUUGUAGUUAAUCAAAUGUUAUGUAAAUGAAGUUAUGAAGUUUAGGUAUUAAACUGGGAUUAGAUACCCCACUAUUCUAAAAGUUAAGUUUAAACCAGAGUAGUAAUAGUUAUGUUCUUAAAACUCAAAGAAUUUGGCGGUGUUUUAAUCCGGUCAGAGGAACCUGUCCCGUAAUCGAUAAUCCACGUUUAUGUAACUUAGUUUUGUAUUCAGCUUGUAUACUGCCGUCAAAAGAGUGAUUCAAGAGAAUGCCCUCAAGGUUCUUAAUUAAGAAAGAUGUCAGGUCAAGGUGCAGUUUAUGAUUAAGGGGAGAUGGGUUACAAUAGUUUUAACUAAACGGAAGGGUUCCUGGCAUGGAACCCCAAAGGUGGAUUUGGAUGUAAUGAGUUAUAAUAAGUACUUAUGAUACCGGCUCUAAAACAAGCACACAUCGCCCGUCGCUCUCGUUUUUUAAGGCGAGAUAAGUCGUAACAUAGUAGAUGUACCGGAAGGUGCCUCUAGAAAGU
rnacentral:ncRNA from 1 species